UACGUAGGGCGCAAGCGUUAUCCGGAAUUAUUGGACGUAAAGAGCUCGUAGGCGGUUUGUCGCGUCUGCCGUGAAAGUCCGGGGCUCAACUCCGGAUCUGCGGUGGGUACGGGCAGACUAGAGUGAUGUAGGGGGAGACUGGAAUUCCUGGUGUAGCGGUGAAAUGCGCAGAUAUCAGGAGGAACACCGGUGGCGAAGGCGGGUCUCUGGGCCGAUACUGACGCUGAGGAGCGAAAGCGUGGGGAGCGAACAGG
rnacentral:rRNA from 1 species